rnacentral:sRNA from 1 species
UGACCACUUCUGUUUUUUAGAAGUCAAGGCCAUACGGACAGCCGGGUCAACUGCCGA